rnacentral:SRP_RNA from 1 species
GGCCGGGACCCGUGCGGCGGGAAGCCCGAACCGUGUCAGGACCGGAAGGUAGCAGCACUAAGGGUCAAUUCCCGGGUGCCACGGUUGCACCCGGCCCGA